GAUGAACGCUGGCGGCGUGCCUAAUACAUGCAAGUCGAGCGAACGGACGAGAAGCUUGCUUCUCUGAUGUUAGCGGCGGACGGGUGAGUAACACGUGGAUAACCUACCUAUAAGACUGGGAUAACUUCGGGAAACCGGAGCUAAUACCGGAUAAUAUUUUGAACCGCAUGGUUCAAAAGUGAAAGACGGUCUUGCUGUCACUUAUAGAUGGAUCCGCGCUGCAUUAGCUAGUUGGUAAGGUAACGGCUUACCAAGGCAACGAUGCAUAGCCGACCUGAGAGGGUGAUCGGCCACACUGGAACUGAGACACGGUCCAGACUCCUACGGGAGGCAGCAGUAGGGAAUCUUCCGCAAUGGGCGAAAGCCUGACGGAGCAACUCCGCGUGAGUGAUGAAGGUCUUCGGAUCGUAAAACUCUGUUAUUAGGGAAGAACAUAUGUGUAAGUAACUGUGCACAUCUUGACGGUACCUAAUCAGAAAGCCACGGCUAACUACGUGCCAGCAGCCGCGGUAAUACGUAGGUGGCAAGCGUUAUCCGGAAUUAUUGGGCGUAAAGCGCGCGUAGCGGUUUUUUAGUCUGAUGUGAAAGCCCACGGCUCAACCGUGGAGGGUCAUUGGAAACUGGAAAACUUGAGUGCAGAAGAGGAAAGUGGAAUUCCAUGUGUAGCGGUGAAAUGCGCAGAGAUAUGGAGGAACACCAGUGGCGAAGGCGACUUUCUGGUCUGUAACUGACGCUGAUGUGCGAAAGCGUGGGGAUCAAACAGGAUUAGAUACCCUGGUAGUCCACGCCGUAAACGAUGAGUGCUAAGUGUUAGGGGGUUUCCGCCCCUUAGUGCUGCAGCUAACGCAUUAAGCACUCCGCCUGGGGAGUACGACCGCAAGGUUGAAACUCAAAGGAAUUGACGGGGACCCGCACAAGCGGUGGAGCAUGUGGUUUAAUUCGAAGCAACGCGAAGAACCUUACCAAAUCUUGACAUCCUUUGACAACUCUAGAGAUAGAGCCUUCCCCUUCGGGGGACAAAGUGACAGGUGGUGCAUGGUUGUCGUCAGCUCGUGUCGUGAGAUGUUGGGUUAAGUCCCGCAACGAGCGCAACCCUUAAGCUUAGUUGCCAUCAUUAAGUUGGGCACUCUAAGUUGACUGCCGGUGACAAACCGGAGGAAGGUGGGGAUGACGUCAAAUCAUCAUGCCCCUUAUGAUUUGGGCUACACACGUGCUACAAUGGACAAUACAAAGGGCAGCGAAACCGCGAGGUCAAGCAAAUCCCAUAAAGUUGUUCUCAGUUCGGAUUGUAGUCUGCAACUCGACUACAUGAAGCUGGAAUCGCUAGUAAUCGUAGAUCAGCAUGCUACGGUGAAUACGUUCCCGGGCCU
rnacentral:rRNA from 1 species